rnacentral:rRNA from 1 species
AUUGAACGCUGGCGGCAGGCCUAACACAUGCAAGUCGAGCGAGCGGCGGACGGGUGUGUACUGUCUGGGAAACUGCCUGAUGGCGGGGGCUACCUACUGGAAACGGUACCUAAUACCGCAUACCUUCAGCUGGUCCCAGAUGGGAUUAGCUAUUGGGUGGGGUAAUGGCUCACCUAGGCGACGAUCCCUAGCUGGUCUGAGAGGAUGACCAGCCACACUGGAACUGAGACACGGUCCAGACUCCUACGGGAGGCAGCAGGGGGGAAUAUUGCACAAUGGGCGCAAGCCUGAUGCAGCCAUGCCGCGUGUGUGAAGAAGGCCUUCGGGUUGUAAAGCACUUUCAGCGAGGAGGCGUUACUCGCAGAAGAAGCACCGGCUAACUCCGUGCCAGCCGCCGCGGUAAUAC